UGGAAAUUCAAAUUAAUUUUCAAAUCUUAGGCCAGAGUAGCCGAACCAGGAAUAUUUUCCAUGUUGGCUUCCAGUUUGGGUGCUUUGAGCUUUAAAACGUUACUCAGUACAAGAGGCCGUGUCAGUGAUUUGAAGUGGUCAUGGUGCCUGGAGUCUGUAUGUGCUGCAUUUCAGUAUGAAAUGAUUCACAAAUUGAGAAGAGC